rnacentral:sRNA from 1 species
GGCGCCGCCGGGGAACGGGCGCGGGCCGCGCCACAGCCGGAGCGGGGCAGGGCCCCGCCGCCGCCUUCUUCCGCCGGCCCCGCCGCCGGCCAUGCAUUCUUCCGGCUCCUCUGACUCCCAAAGCCCCGGCAGGGGCCCGGCCAGCCCGAGGCAGCCGCGAGGGGAGUAGGGCGCCAGCGCGCCCGCUCGCGCCGCGCCUCGGGCCGCCUGGGCCGCCACCGCGUCCAUGACCGCGACCCCUCGGCGGGGGACACCCGCCCCCGCGCUCCGCAGCCGCCCGCCGUCCGCGCCCGCCGAGACAGGACGGAGUCCAAUGUGAGGAUGGCUAUGACUUUGGAAGAAGCUCCGUGGCUGGGCUGGCUCUUGGUGAAAGCACUGAUGAGGUUUGCCUUCAUGGUCGUCAACAACCUGGUUGCUAUUCCAUCCUACAUCUGCUAUG